rnacentral:sRNA from 1 species
AGCGAGCCCAGCCCCGGUCCCAGCCCCGGUCCCAGCCCCGGCCGUCCCGGCGUCGCUUCGGAGCGCGGCGGCAGCUGACUGCGCCUUCACGAUCCGCUGGGACCCGCGAGCCCCGCCGCCGUUAUGAACAUCCGCAAUGCGAGGCCAGAGGACCUAAUGAACAUGCAGCACUGCAACCUCCUCUGCCUGCCCGAGAACUACCAGAUGAAAUACUACUUCUAUCAUGGCCUUUCCUGGCCCCAGCUCUCUUACAUUGCUGAGGACGAGAAUGGGAAGAUUGUGGGGUAUGUCCUGGCCAAAAUGGAAGAGGACCCAGACGAUGUGCCCCAUGGACAUAUCACCUCAUUGGCUGUGAAGCGUUCCCACCGGCGCCUCGGUCUGGCUCAGAAACUGAUGGACCAGGCCUCUCGAGCCAUGAUAGAGAACUUCAAUGCCAAAUACGUCUCCCUGCAUGUCAGGAAGAGUAACCGGGCCGCCCUGCACCUCUAUUCCAACACCCUCAACUUUCAGUUGGGGGUGGGCCGGCUGUGGGGAGGA